ACAUCUCUCUCUCUCUAUCUCUCUCCCGACCCACCAUUCUAUAUCAUAUAUCCCUAAGCACUAUAUAUUGUCUCCCAUCAACCUCGUCUCCACACCAAAGUUGUUUUUUAUGUUCUUUGGGGGUCUUGACCCUGUGGGUGAUGUUGGUUCUUUAGGGUUACAUAUGGGUCGUUUGUGAUAGGUUUGAGAGAGAUAUGGUUCUUGACCUUUUUUUUCUUUUAAAUGUUUUUGGAUGGUUUUGAUUUUUGUGUAUAGGGUUCAGCUGGUUGUUGCAGUUGUGCUGGAAAAACAGUCUAGGGUUUCUUGUAUCUGUUACAGUUAGUUUAGAGUUUGUAUAGAUAGCCUGGAUCUAUGGGGUUAACUCUUUAAUGAUUUAGGAUGUAUGUGCAGCUCUCUCUCUCUUCUCCAUCUUUUAUUUGAGUCUGAGAGGUAGAGAUCUGGUAAUCUGUCUGUUGUUGGUUAUAAGCUGAUCUUGCCUAGGGUUUCGUUCUCUUUCCUUCUCCCUCCUUACCGCUUGCUUCGGAUUUACUGCGAUCUUGCCUUGUAUUUGUCUAGGUCUGCCCUGUUAACCUUCUUCUUAUUAUUGUUCUCGAUUCAGGAAAACAAAUCAAAGAAUCCUCCCCAGUUCUUUCCAGCACUAGCUACGACAAUAUCUUCUGUCAUUUACUUCCUUCACUGUUAAUUCUCGAGCUAACAAUAAUAAGAAUAGAAAAAGGGAUUCGGUGGUCUAUUUGCAACUAAUAUCUUUAUUUUUUGAGGAAGCUUUUGGAGGUGAAUCACGUGCCACAAUUAGAAGCUAGUAAUUUUACCAGUUUCUCGUAGAUCUGUCAUGAACGGCCAUUAACAAUUAUGCUGUUCCCUAGUUGAUCUAAUUUGUUAUUGGGAAUUAAUAAUAUGAGUUUGUGAUGUAUUCGAGUCUGAAAUAAGUGUAUUAUCUUGAGCUUUUAGUGACUCUCUAGCCCAUUCUGACUGUUUCGAUAGUUUGAUGCAAUAGCCAUUUUGAUUUGUUUUCACCGU